CUUCUGUUCCUAACAGGGUGGUGGGGGCAUGCGAGGGCCGCUGGAAGGGCCUUUCCCCCCAUUUGAUCUUUAAGUAACCAAACCUUCGACUUUGCUCAUGUUAGGACGAGGUCUCCUCCUGUUCCUAACAAGGCUGUGGGGGCAUAUAAGGACCGCUGCAAGAGCCUCUCCCCCCAUCCGAUCUUUAAGAAAUCAAGCUUUCGACUUUGCUCAUGUUAGGAUGAGGUUCUCCUCCUGUUCCUAACAAAACUGUGGGGGCACAUAAGGGCCGUUGCAAGGACCUCUUCCCCCAUCCGAUCUUUAAGAAAUCGGACCUUCGACUUUGCUCAUGUUAGGAUGAGCUUCUUCUCCUGUUCCUAAUAAGGCUGUGGAGGCAUAUAAGGGCCGUUGCAAGGGCCUCUCUCCCCAUCCGGUCUUUAAGAAAUCGAGCCUUCGACUUUGCUCAUGUUAUGACGAGAUUCUCCUCCUGUUCCUAACAAGGCUGUGGGGGCACAUAAGGGCCAUUGCAAAGGCCUCUCUCUCCAUCCGAUCUUUGAGAAACUGGGCCUUCGACUUUGCUCAUGUUAGGACAAGGUUCUCCUCCUGUUCUUAACAAGGCUGUGGGGGCACAUAAGGGCCGUUGCAAGGGCCUCUCCCCCCAUCCGAUCUUUAAAAAAUCGAGCCUUCAUCUUUGCUCAUAUUAAGACGAGGUUCUCCUCCUGUUCCUAACACGCUUAAUUUUGUUUGUAUGGGAGAGUUACUUCCUAUCGUUAUAAGCUUAUGCCAAUAAAAAAAUAUGCAAGUAUGAAACUUUUAUUUAAGGCAAAGCUAUUGAUAAUACAUUCGUAGAUUUUCUGAAUUUCAUGGUUAUGGAAGCUUUGCUCCUCCGAGCUCUUUUAGAUAGUAUGUUCUGGGCCGGACCACCUCCUUAACUUCAUACGGGCCUUCCCAGUUUGGGGCAAGUUUUCCUUGAUUCUGAGGUUGUAAGACAGCGGCUCGUCGUAGUACCAGGUCCUCCGCUCUGAAGACUUUGCUUUUGACUCCGGAAUUGUAGUAGCGGACUACUUUCUGCUUGUAGGCCGUCAUCCGAACUUGAGCUGUUUUUUACUUUUCCUCCAAUAAGUCGAGGUUGGCCUUGAGAUCUUGCGGGUUGCGUCGCUCGUCGAAUGCCACAACUCGCGCCGACGGAAGCUUGAGUUCAAUCAGGAUCAUGACUUCUGUCCCGAAGGCUAGG
rnacentral:lncRNA from 1 species